UAUAGGUACUGAAGACUGACAUACAUAAUUAGAUACGUUUAAAUAUAUACAUAUAUAGAUAAUUAACGUCAAGACAAACAACAAAACAGAGCUGUUCAUCACACGAAUGUUUGGCCGAUGUGGGAAUCGAACCCUCGACCCUCGGCGCGACAGUCAAGAACGCUAACUACUCCGCCGCCGAGACAUUAAGUCGGAUAUGAGAGUAACCAGUUACUAACAGAUUGGGUCAGCUUACAAUUUACUUGAUGGAUAACUUAUACAUAAUUAUCUCUUGCCCUUGAAAGCGUUGCUUACAUUACAUUAAUAUGCAACGAAACGCCAUACAUGCAAAGAUGUUCUCUAUUACACGCGAGUGGACAAAUUUCUCGGAACCGUAUACAUCGCAACGUCUUCAGAUCGGUUCGAUAAAAUAUAGGAUAUUAAAAGUAUUCGACAGUCCAGCGAGGUUUUUUGUUAUUAAAUGCACACAAGCAUGGUAUUUAGAUUUUAUAACUAGACCCGCAGAAGCCGCAACUUUACGGCAGCUGAUUGACUCUCUAUGAAGAAAGAGACUUCUAUCAUCGGAUAGAUCAGGCAAGAACCAGCUAGCUUUAGUUUCGAUAUUAAUUUGAUACUUUAAGACUUUUAAAGCAACCGUGAGCCUUAAAAACAUUUUGCAUUGUGAAGUAACCUAAUAUGAAGAUUUCUUGGUUCUUUUGUUAUUUUCGUUCAAAGUUUCCUAAAUAAACAACUAGUUUGUUUUGAUUUUGAAAAAAGCAAGAA